GGUUAAGCGACUAAGCGUACACGGUGGAUGCCCUGGCAGUCAGAGGCGAUGAAGGGCGUGCUAAUCUGCGAUAAGCGCCGGUAAGGUGAUAUGAACCGUUAUAACCGGCGAUACCCGAAUGGGGAAACCCAGUGUGACUCGUCACACUAUCAUUAACUGAAUCCAUAGGUUAAUGAGGCGAACCGGGGGAACUGAAACAUCUAAGUACCCCGAGGAAAAGAAAUCAACCGAGAUUCCCCCAGUAGCGGCGAGCGAACGGGGAGGAGCCCAGAGCCUGAAUCAGCAUGUGUGUUAGUGGAAGCGUCUGGAAAGGCGCGCGAUACAGGGUGACAGCCCCGUACACAAAAGCGCAUGUGCUGUGAGCUCGAUGAGUAGGGCGGGACACGUGGUAUCCUGUCUGAAUAUGGGGGGACCAUCCUCCAAGGCUAAAUACUCCUGACUGACCGAUAGUGAACCAGUACCGUGAGGGAAAGGCGAAAAGAACCCCGGCGAGGGGAGUGAAAAAGAACCUGAAACCGUGUACGUACAAGCAGUGGGAGCCCC
rnacentral:rRNA from 1 species